rnacentral:rRNA from 1 species
AUGCAAGUCGAACGGGAAUCUUCGGAUUCUAGUGGCGGACGGGUGAGUAACGCGUAAGAAUCUAACUUCAGGACGGGGACAACAGUUGGAAACGACUGCUAAUACCCGAUGUGCCGAAAGGUGAAACCUAAUUGGCCUGAAGAAGAGCUUGCGUCUGAUUAGCUAGUUGGUGGGGUAAGAGCCUACCAAGGCGACGAUCAGUAGCUGGUCUGAGAGGAUGAGCAGCCACACUGGGACUGAGACACGGCCCAGACUCCUACGGGAGGCAGCAGUGGGGAAUUUUCCGCAAUGGGCGAAAGCCUGACGGAGCAACGCCGCGUGAGGGAGGAAGGUCUUUGGAUUGUAAACCUCUUUUCUCAAGGAAGAAGUUCUGACGGUACUUGAGGAAUCAGCCUCGGCUAACUCCGUGCCAGCAGCCGCGGUAAUACGGGGGAGGCAAGCGUUAUCCGGAAUUAUUGGGCGUAAAGCGUCCGCAGGUGGUCAGCCAAGUCUGCCGUCAAAUCAGGUUGCUUAACGACCUAAAGGCGGUGGAAACUGGCAGACUAGAGAGCAGUAGGGGUAGCAGGAAUUCCCAGUGUAGCGGUGAAAUGCGUAGAGAUUGGGAAGAGCAUCGGUGGCGAAAGCGUGCUACUGGGCUGUAUCUGACACUCAGGGACGAAAGCUAGGGGAGCGAAAGGGAUUAGAUACCCCUGUAGUCCUAGCCGUAAACGAUGGAUACUAGGCGUGGCUUGUAUCGACCCGAGCCGU